AUUUAUUGGAGAGUUUGAUCCUGGCUCAGGACGAACGCUGGCGGCGUGCCUAAUACAUGCAAGUCGAGCGGRCCUUUCAAGAGCUUGCUCUUGAAAGGUUAGCGGCGGACGGGUGAGUAACACGUGGGCAACCUGCCCUGUAGACUGGGAUAACUUCGGGAAACCGGAGCUAAUACYGGAUAAUCAAUGACACCACAUGGUGUSAUUGUAAAAGUUGGGAAUUCUAACACUACGGGAUGGGCCCGCGGCGCAUUAGCUAGUUGGUGAGGUAAUGGCUCACCAAGGCGACGAUGCGUAGCCGACCUGAGAGGGUGAUCGGCCACACUGGGACUGAGACACGGCCCAGACUCCUACGGGAGGCAGCAGUAGGGAAUCUUCCGCAAUGGACGAAAGUCUGACGGAGCAACGCCGCGUGAGUGAUGAAGGCCUUCGGGUCGUAAAGC
rnacentral:rRNA from 2 species